AACGAACGCUGGCGGCAGGCCUAACACAUGCAAGUCGAGCGCGCCCUUCGGGGUGACCGGCGGACGGGUGAGUAACGCGUGGGAACGUGCCCUUCUCUGCGGAAUAGCCUCGGGAAACUGAGAGUAAUACCGCAUACGCCCUUUGGGGGAAAGAUUUAUCGGAGAAGGAUCGGCCCGCGUUGGAUUAGGUAGUUGGUGGGGUAAUGGCCCACCAAGCCGACGAUCCAUAGCUGGUUUGAGAGGAUGAUCAGCCACACUGGGACUGAGACACGGCCCAGCCUCCUACGGGAGGCAGCAGUGGGGAAUCUUAGACAAUGGGGGCAACCCUGAUCUAGCCAUGCCGCGUGAGUGAUGAAGGCCUUAGGGUUGUAAAGCUCUUUCAGCUGGGAAGAUAAUGACGGUACCAGCAGAAGAAGCCCCGGCUAACUCCGUG
rnacentral:rRNA from 1 species